UACGUAGGAUGCAAGCGUUGUCCGGAAUUACUGGGCGUAAAGCGCACGUAGGCGGCUUGGUAUGUCGGGUGUGAAAUCCCCGGGCUCAACCUGGGAACUGCAUCCGAAACUGCCUUGCUAGAGUAUGGGAGAGGGAAGUGGAAUUUCCGGUGUAGCGGUGAAAUGCGUAGAUAUCGGAAGGAACAUCAGUGGCGAAGGCGACUUCCUGGACCAAUACUGACGCUCAGGUGCGAAAGCGUGGGGAGCAAACAGG
rnacentral:rRNA from 1 species